rnacentral:rRNA from 1 species
UACGAAGGGGGCUAGCGUUGCUCGGAAUCACUGGGCGUAAAGGGUGCGUAGGCGGGUCUUUAAGUCAGGGGUGAAAUCCUGGAGCUCAACUCCAGAACUGCCUUUGAUACUGAAGAUCUUGAGUUCGGGAGAGGUGAGUGGAACUGCGAGUGUAGAGGUGAAAUUCGUAGAUAUUCGCAAGAACACCAGUGGCGAAGGCGGCUCACUGGCCCGGUACUGACGCUGAGGCACGAAAGCGUGGGAGCAAACAGG